rnacentral:rRNA from 1 species
GACGAACGCUGGCGGCGUGCUUAACACAUGCAAGUCGAGCGGUAAGGCCCUUUCGGGGGUACACGAGCGGCGAACGGGUGAGUAACACGUGGGUGACCUGCCCUCAGCUCUGGGAUAAGCCUGGGAAACCGGGUCUAAUACUGGAUAUGACUCCAUGACGCAUGUUGUGGGGUGGAAAGCCUUGUGCGGCUGAGGAUGGGCCCGCGGCCUAUCAGCUUGUUGGUGGGGCGANGGCCUACCAAGGCGACGACGGGUAGCCGGCCUGAGAGGGCGACCGGCCACACUGGGACUGAGACACGGCCCAGACUCCUACGGGAGGCAGCAGUGGGGAAUCUUGCGCAAUGGGCGAAAGCCUGACGCAGCGACGCCGCGUGA